AUUGAACGCUGGCGGCAGGCCUAACACAUGCAAGUCGAACGGUAACAGGAAGCAGCUUGCUGCUUUGCUGACGAGUGGCGGACGGGUGAGUAAUGACUGGGAAACCGCCCGAUGGAGGGGGAUAACUACUGGAAACGGUAGCUAAUACCGCAUAACGUCGCAAGACCAGAGAGGGGGACCUUAGGGCCUCUUGCCAUCGGAUGUGCCCAGAUGGGAUUAGCUAGUAGGUGGGGUAACGGCUCACCUAGGCGACGAUCCCUAGCUGGUCUGAGAGGAUGACCAGCCACACUGGAACUGAGACACGGUCCAGACUCCUACGGGAGGCAGCAGUGGGGAAUAUUGCACAAUGGGCGCAAGCCUGAUGCAGCCAUGCCGCGUGUAUGAAGAAGGCCUUCGGGUUGUAAAGUACUUUCAGCGGGGAGGAAGGGAGUAAAGUUAAUACCUUUGCUCAUUGACGUUACCCGCAGAAGAAGCACCGGCUAACUCCGUG
rnacentral:rRNA from 1 species